rnacentral:rRNA from 1 species
UCCGUAGGCGGAUUUUUAAGUCAGAGGUGAAAGCCUGCAGCUCAACUGUGGAACUGCCUUUGAUACUGGAAAUCUUGAGUGUGCGUGAAGUAGGCGGAAUAAGUCAUGUAGCGGUGAAAUGCAUAGAUAUGACUUAGAACACCGAUUGCGAAGGCAGCUUACUAAAGCACUACUGACGCUGAGGGACGAAAGCGUGGGGAGCGAACA